rnacentral:lncRNA from 1 species
UCAUCACGUAAGAAAAGAUUCAGACACUACUUGUUUUUUCUUCCUAAACUGGGGGCAGAAGGAAAACAAAUGGAAAAAGCACAAAAAGUGACACAUCAGUAAGGUCAACCAAGAUACUCCAGAUGUGUGUAAAACUUUCUCCUCUCAAUCAGCCAGUGUGGGCUCCCUUCCCUAGCUGCACAAAACAGGGUUAACAGUUCUACCAGUCAUCCCACUUAUCAUCAGCUGAAGAUGCCUUUUUCGUUGCCUUAGGAGGUUUUUUGGCCUUGCUCUCCCCUCCUGUGUUUUCCCAGUUGGUCUCCCAGUUUUCCCAACUGUCGCUGUUACUGUUCUUGUUGUUGGAGACUGUUCCUGAGCCCCACACGUCCCAGCUAUCAGAGCUCUUCUUCUCUGUGGAAUUGUCCACAUAGGUCCAGCUCUCACUGCUUGGAGAUUUAUGAGCUUUCGGUGGGUCUGAGUUGCCAAAGGUCUCCCAGAAGCUUUGAUCUACAGCAUUGUUCUGGUAGCCUUCCCCUCCACUGUUCUGGUAGCUGUCUCCCUCGGCUGGUCUUUCAGAAUGAUCAUCUGGUUUCCCAGAAAAGAAAGUGGUGACAUCUCGCCAUCCCUUACUCCCAACUCCCUGAACCUUGCUGGCCAACUGCGAUACCCCCACGGUGACCUCCUCAAAAAUUUUCCCCUCUU